rfam:Rhodopseudomonas palustris BisB18, complete genome.
GCCGCAAUAGCUCAGCUGGUAGAGCACGUCAUUCGUAAUGACGGGGUCGGGGGUUCGAAUCCCUCUUGCGGCA